UACGAAGGGGGCUAGCGUUGCUCGGAAUCACUGGGCGUAAAGCGCACGUAGGCGGCUUUCUAAGUCAGGGGUGAAAUCCUGGAGCUCAACUCCAGAACUGCCUUUGAUACUGGAAAGCUUGAGUUCGGGAGAGGUGAGUGGAACUGCGAGUGUAGAGGUGAAAUUCGUAGAUAUUCGCAAGAACACCAGUGGCGAAGGCGGCUCACUGGGGGUCUUCUGACGCUGAGGAACGAAAGCCAGGGGAGCGAACGGG
rnacentral:rRNA from 1 species